rnacentral:lncRNA from 1 species
AAGCUUAGUUUUCAGCUAAGCUAAAAGUAAGCUGAGAGGAAUUGUUUCUUUAAGAAGCUUUGGAAAACGUGUUUCCCCCAAUGUGGUGCCUGGAAGGAAGGAGUUGCUACUGUUACUUUGAGCCACUCCCUGACGCUGUCAGAGAUUCUAAAGAAAAUAAUACAGAGCGAGCCACUGCAUGUAACCUGAGUAACACUGUCUAGGCUGAGUGCCCACAAACAGAAGUUAAUAUUAGGCGCCCGGAAACCGAGGCUUCAGUCCUGACUCUGCUGCUAACUGGGAAGAUGAUCAACUGUAAAAGCCAUACAACCUUCCUAAGCCCUAAUUUCCACAUCUGAGGAACGGAGGACUUGGAAUUAGAUAGUCAGUGAAUUCCCUUCCAGAACCAUGACAAAUACAGGAAGGCAACAGAGGAGGCUUUCAUGGACCUUUCAUGACAGUGAUCAACUCAACUCUGAGCAUCACUAAGACGCAUGUCUGAAUGAAGACUCUCUGAUGCUCCUGUUUUCUCCGUGAGGCACGUUCUUGUGUUUAGAAACACCAGGCAGCACUUCAGCACUACACUUGGGAGCUAUUUUAAACAGCAAAUCACCAAAAAAA